CUGUUCCGGGGAAAUAUUGUGAAUGUGCGUGUCAACCGCGCCGGCCGUGAGGAUCUUACCCUCGCCGCCUACAACUUCGGUGCGCACCCCCACUACGAUAUCCACAUCGUCCUGGAUAUCAGGGUUACCGGCGUUACCGAUCUUCAAGAUCUUGCCGUCACGGACAGCCACGUCCGCAACAUAAAUACCCGUGUAGUCAAUGACCAUCACGUUGGUAAUCACAAGAUCUGGAAUUUGACCUUCAUCUACAACGGUAGAGUUCUGCCCCAUACCGUCGCGG
rnacentral:sRNA from 1 species